CAGUAGCCGCGGUAAUACGAAGGGGGCUAGCGUUGUUCGGAUUUACUGGGCGUAAAGGGCGCGUAGGCGGACUGAUGAGUCAGGGGUGAAAUCCCAAGGCUCAACCUUGGAACUGCCUUUGAUACUGUUUGUCUUGAGUUCGAGAGAGGUAAGUGGAACUGCGAGUGUAGAGGUGAAAUUCGUAGAUAUUCGCAAGAACACCAGUGGCGAAGGCGGCUUACUGGCUCGAAACUGACGCUGAGGCGCGAAAGCGUGGGGAGCAAACAGGAUUAGAACCCAGUAGUCCCUGUCUCUUAUACAC
rnacentral:rRNA from 1 species